rnacentral:rRNA from 1 species
AUUGAACGCUGGCGGCAGGCUUAACACAUGCAAGUCGAGCGGGGUGAUGGUGCUUGCACUAUCACUUAGCGGCGGACGGGUGAGUAAUGCUUAGGAAUCUGCCUAUUAGUGGGGGACAACAUCUCGAAGGGGAUGCUAAUACCGCAUACGUCCUACGGGAGAAAGCAGGGGAUCUUCGGACCUUGCGCUAAUAGAUGAGCCUAAGUCGGAUUAGCUAGUUGGUGGGGUAAAGGCCUACCAAGGCGACGAUCUGUAGCGGGUCUGAGAGGAUGAUCCGCCACACUGGGACUGAAACACGGCCCAGACUCCUACGGGAGGCAGCAGUGGGGAAUAUUGGACAAUGGGGGGAACCCUGAUCCAGCCAUGCCGCGUGUGUGAAGAAGGCCUUAUGGUUGUAAAGCACUUUAAGCGAGGAGGAGGCUACUCUAGUUAAUACCUGGGGAUAGUGGACGUUACUCGCAGAAUAAGCACCGGCUAACUCUGUGCCAGCCGCCGCCGUAA